CAGUAGCCACGGUAAUACGGAGGGAGCUAGCGUUGUUCGGAAUUACUGGGCGUAAAGCGCACGUAGGCGGCUUUGUAAGUUAGAGGUGAAAGCCUGGUGCUCAACACCAGAACUGCCUUUAAGACUGCAGAGCUAGAACGUCGGAGAGGUGAGUGGAAUUCCGAGUGUAGAGGUGAAAUUCGUAGAGAUCGGGAGGAACAUCAGUGGCGAAGGCGGCCAUCUGGGACAACACUGACGCUGAGGCACGAAAGCGUGGGGAGCAAACAGGAUUAGAUACCCCCGUAGUCCCUGUCUCUUAUAA
rnacentral:rRNA from 1 species